GUAGCAUAACGAUUCAAAUGACAAUUUUGUAAGAACUUUACAUCAAUGUCCAUGACCAUCCUAAGAUCAUGGUUCUGCUACUUAGAUUGUGUUUAUCCACAAUUGCAGCUUGGUAAGAAAAAUGUUUGAAACCCAUUUUGUUUUCAAGUGUACAAAAUAACACUAAACUUUAGCACAAACCACACAUAACCAACUCUAGCUAACUCAUACCCACUUUAGCUAACUGCUCCUCUACUUAAACAUGGAGCUAAUCACGCAAUAAACUAACAUUUACCAAAUCAACCACUCACCAAACUAGAGGAUCCCUAACACAAAAAUGAUCAUAAAUUUUCUAUCCACAUAUGUUUCAAGUUAAAGGUAAAAGUCAACCUUCUUAGGAUCGACUUGAAGAA